UGGGUUAGUGGCGGACGGGUGAGUAACGCGUGGGCAACCUGCCUUACACAGGGGGAUAACACUUAGAAAUAGGUGCUAAAACCGCAUAAGCGCACAGCUUCGCAUGAAGCGGUGUGAAAAACUCCGGUGGUGUAAGAUGGACCCGCGUCUGAUUAGCUUGUUGGCGGGGUAACGGCCCACCAAGGCGACGAUCAGUAGCCGGCCUGAGAGGGCGGACGGCCACAUUGGGACUGAGACACGGCCCAGACUCCUACGGAAGGCAGCAG
rnacentral:rRNA from 1 species